GGAGCUGGCGACACGUUCUGCCCCUGGAGGCCGGGCUGCUCCUCGGCCCCGGCACAAGGGAAGCACUCAGCUGUGCUCCUGGCCGGCUCCUAUGGGCGAUUGCUGAAAAAUGCCCACAGCAUGGCUACCUGAAGAAUUCUGAACAGAGGAGGAGUGAAUCAGAGAUUCAAAGAAUAGUGGCUGCCCUGGAUGCCUGAACAGCCUUGGCCUUUCUAUUCCAUUGUUGCUUGAAACUGGACACACAAGCACUAUGAAAAAGGUCUUAUUUUCUCCAUCUGGAAGCUGAAGAUAAUACUACCUAAACUACAGGGAUAUUGUGAGCAUUCCUUGUUAUAGUAGUUCAUUUCUAAAUCAUCUCAUUGUAAUAAAAUUGUUAAAACCGUUUAAAAA